GCCUGAGCCCUGCCCUAAGGAUUGUAAAAUAUUGCUGGGCUCAGCACCCAGGUGAGAGUGCGACAUACCUGGGCUCAACUCACAGCUGUGGGGAUUGUGACACAUACCUGGGCCCAGUACCUAGGUGAUGUGGCUCUCUUGCUUGGGACCUGCCAAACAGGGGACUUUAAUAUACCUGGGCCCCACACCUAGGUGAUGUGACUCUUCUGCUGGGCCUCGACCAUAAGAGAGAUUGCGAUAUAUACAUGGGCCCAGCCUUCAGGUGAUGUAGCUCUUCUGCCUGAGCCAGGCUCACAGGGGGAAUUGUAAGAUUUAGCUGGACCCAGCUCACAGGCAAUGAUGACUCUCAUACCUGGACCCAGUGAAGAGGAGACAUUCUGACUCUCAUAGCUAGCCUUAAGGAAAUAGGGAAAGUGCAAGAACCACCAGGUCUUAGGGCACAUGGCCAGGACCAGGAGGUACCCAGUGAAGUGCUCUAAUGUGGUCCUGUCCCACAGCCCCUGAACCAAAUAAGGACAAGCAGAACCUGAAACCAAGGAAGGCUUGGGAACUGCAGACUCCAGGACUCUUUACUAAGACUAACAGGAGGAAUGAAGGCAAAGAUCAGAUACCUGCAGGGUUGAAACCGUACCCAGACUUUGGAAUUUUAGUGUCUCCUUCUUUACUCUGUGUCCACAGCCCUCUUUAAGAGUGGAGAGAGAAACAUAAUAGAAAUACAUGAAGAGUCUGGGUGCGGUGGCUCACGCCUGUAAUCCCAGCACU
rnacentral:lncRNA from 1 species